UGGGGAAUAUUGGGCAAUGGGCGAAAGCCUGACCCAGCAACGCCGCGUGAGGGAAGAAGGGUUUCGGCUCGUAAACCUCUGUCCUAUGGGACGAAGGAAGUGACGGUACCAUAGGAGGAAGCCCCGGCUAACUACGUGCCAGCAGCCGCGGUAAUACGUAGGGGGCGAGCGUUGUCCGGAAUGAUUGGGCGUAAAGGGGCGCGUAGGCGGCCUGCUAAGUCUGGAGUGAAAGUCCUGCUUUCAAGGUGGGAAUUGCUUUGGAUACUGGGAGGCUGGAGUGCAGGAGAGGAAAGCGGAAUUACCGGUGUAGCGGUGAAAUGCGUAGAGAUCGGUAGGAACACCAGUGGCGAAGGCGGCUUUCUGGACGGUAACUGACGUUGAGGCUCGAAAGGCGUGGGGAGCAAACAGGAUUAGAUACC
rnacentral:rRNA from 1 species